UACGUAGGGGGCAAGCGUUAUCCGGAUUUACUGGGUGUAAAGGGAGCGUAGGCGGCUUAGUAAGUCAGAAGUGAAAGCCCGCAGCUCAACUGCGGGACUGCUUUUGAAACUGCCAGGCUAGAGUGUCGGAGAGGUAAGUGGAAUUCCUAGUGUAGCGGUGAAAUGCGUAGAUAUUAGGAAGAACACCAGUGGCGAAGGCGGAUGACUGGACGACAACUGACGGUGAGGCGCGAAAGCGUGGGGAGCAAACAGG
rnacentral:rRNA from 1 species